rnacentral:lncRNA from 1 species
UUCGGGCCCAACGAAUUCCUGGCGGAUAGGGAAAAGUACCGCGUUACUUCUCAGCGUCAAGGAUCCCCAAACUUCCUGAAGUCUGAUACCCUUGGGAGGUCUCAUCCAGGGCCUGGGAAUCCCCAAGCAGUUCCAGGAGUGAGCGAAAUCCAGAGACCGGGAGCAGGCAGGCUGUGUGGAUAGCUCAUUUGGACUUCAUGCAUCCGCCACGGCGCUAGGAAUGAAGCCGGGAUAAACUAUGCUCUGGUCCCAGAACUUAGCAGCAUCGGAGAGCAGCAGCGGGGCUUAAGACUUGCAUCUGCUGACCCAGUUAUGAGUGCCAGGGCAAAGCUAUGAAGAGAAAGUAUCAGGCACGGGUGCCCAACUUUGUCUUCUGUCUCUUCAAGAGAAGUGGGACCCGAGAAUCCCCGCCACAGCCGGCGCAGAUUGAUUUUCCCCUUCCAGGAUGGGGGACGACUGCGCAGAGCUCAAGCGCCUGGGGAGGAGGCAGUAAGUAGCGGCAGCCGGCGGUCCGGGGCCCCAGACGCUCGGCGGAGAGUCCGGCUGGAGCGCAGAGACCUGGCGCGGCUCCCUCUGUCUCAGGGUCAGGGGAGGUUCCACCCGGUAAA